UGGUCAACGAAAAUGAAGAGACAUUUUGGCAUAGUUUUUAUUUUGUGAACCACAUUUAGUCUCGUUUUUUUCGUCAACGAUAUUGCAUUAGACAUUUAGUUAUAGCCAUCGUCACACGACCAGCAUUUUCGUUGCAUCUCGUCUCGUUUUCGUCACAUGAUAAAGGAAGAUAAACGAGAAGACUCUACUGGAGGGACACAAAGUUGUGUUGGUUCCUUACAAUGCAAACCACGUGCCCAGGUAUCAUGAAUGGAAGAAGCGUCCUGAGCUGCAGCAUCUGACCGCCUCAGAGCCACCGACCCUGGAAGAGGAGUACGACAUGCAGGGGAGCUGGAGGGAAGACGAUGACAGUAAGACUUCUUCUGAAGUAAAUGUGCAUACAGAACAUGCUCUUAUUUAUCCUCUAACUUGUUAUAAAUCUGAAGGCUUGCCAGACUUAGCCUUUAGCCUUAGAUUUUUUUCAUGUGAGUAACUUCUCCUGUGGUGGUGGGACAGAAAACAAUCUUGUUCUCUAAAUAAAAGAGUAAACACAAUAAAGAGUUCUUUUUCUUUUCACUCUACCUCCCACAAAUGUAAAUGUAAAAAGAAAUGCUGGCUGCUUUCACCCUACCCUACUUCACCUACUCACAUUCCCAAGCACCCCCAGUAAUUACAGGUACCCAAGCCUUUCUCCGUGUUACCAGCUAGCUGGUUUCAGGAGGCACUUCACUUAUCUUUCACAUUUCAUCUAUCUACUGUAGUGGCUAAAAAUAAACAAGGUUCCAGAGGUAACAGUA